AACGCACAUUGCGCCCGCCAGUAUUCUGGCGGGCAUGCCUGUCUGAGCGUCAUUUCAACCCUCAGGGCCCGUACGCGGGCUCUGGCGUUGGGACGCGGCCCCCUGCCCCCCCGGGCGGCGGCCGGUCCCGAAAUCUAGUGGCGGUCCUUCCGCGACCUCCUCUGUGCAGUAGUGAUACCUCGCAGCUGGAUAGCGGUCGGGCCACGCCGUAAAACCCCAACUUCCUCCAAGGUUGACCUCAGAUCAGGUAGGAAUACCCGCUGAACUUAA
rnacentral:misc_RNA from 1 species